rnacentral:lncRNA from 1 species
AAGAAUUUAAGGUAAUGAAUGACAGAAAAUCAGAAAUCAUGGAUCAAUAAACAGAGAAACAAAAUAUGAAUGAUAGGCAGGUAGCUAGAUAAGCUUAACGGAUAAUUUUUAUUAUUUUGGGUUUUUUUUUUUUUGUGUGUGUGUGUGGGUGGGGGGGGGGGGGGGGGGGGGUGAGUGGAGUGUGAUGAUACUCCAAAUCCAAAAUUAAAUAUCACAAGGUAAGCCACAAAAUUUCCAUGCAUCAAACCUCUGGAGACUGUCGGUGCAGCAUAAAAGAAUGGAUUUGGAUAGCUUAGGCAACAGUUGUAUCAGAUGUGUUCCUUAAUUACUCUGAAAUCCUUCUCUAUGCUGAUAAAUUUCCAAAUUAUGCAUUAUAUGUUUUGUUAGCAAAGAAAGUUAAUAUCAUAUAUCUGCAAACAACGGGUGGGCGAAGUCAUGGAUUUUGCUCUUUAAUCCUCAUGUAAUACCUGUAAAGGGCUAAGUAAAGGAGGUAACAGAUUUGCUGUUGAUCCAGCUUGAGUUGCUGAGGCAAAGGGAAAAAUCCGGCCAAGAAGUGACCCAGACACAAAGACAAUAUUUGCUGCAAGAUCAAUGGAGAAUGAAUCAGAAAUGUUGAAGCCAUUAAAAUUUGAAACAAAAACAAAAGAUAUUUUUGAUGAUUUUAAUUUACUAAUCCAAUAUGUAUAUACAAAUAGUUGCUGAUACAACAAGACAGAUAGAUGCUCUAAGAGUAAGGCAAACUUUGCAAGAAAAACAAGCAAUACACUCUAGAAAGUAAUGAAGUGUAUCCAGAAUAGUUAAUGCACUUGAUUAUGACAUUGCAAUGAGUGGGCCCCGAUAAAUAGGCUACUGUUGCUGCACUGUAGCAGGAUAUUCAUGCUUAAGAUUCCAUAUUCUUAGGAUUUAAUCAGACAAUGUUGCUUCCGAAUUACUUUUAAGGUCUAGUUAAUUUAAUUCCGUUUAGCUUAUCCAAAAAGGGUAAUUCCGUUAAGUUGGACCCUUGCAAGGACAAGAAUAUUCCAAGGUUGACUAAGAUAUUAGUCUUACAUAUUUUAUAGCAUUUUCUCGGUUGUUAUUAGAUGCUAUAUUUCACCUUUCUUAUAAUUCCAUCAGAAGUAUUUCCUUCUUGUGGGCCAAUACCAUGUUCAUUAUGGGAAAUUGCAUCUAUUUGAAAAAAAUAAAGAAAAGCAUAUGGGAAACAGCAUAGAACAGAAUCCCCAUAAACCUAUCUUCCUUUUGAGGUUUGGCAUGUAGGGAAAGAGCAAAGAUGCUAAAACUUAGAGAGGCUUUUCACAAGCCUAUCAUCCUUGCUUUCUUCCACCUCAAGAAAACUACAUAUCCCCCUGGAUUGGCCUCUUACCUUUUCCCAUAUCCCUAUGGACCCUGAAUCUUUUCUUAACGUAGGAUUAAUAGCAAGAUACCAAAAGUAACAAAAGGGUUUAAUUCUCCACCUAUUCUUACUGCUUGCUGCACCAUUCCACUUCUUCAAUGUGUCUUCUCCCACUCUAACCUCUCACAUGAUGCUUCUUGUUCUACUCAUUUAGCUUUCAUCAUCAAUCCAUAAGGAAGGAAAACAUAAAUAGACAUAUUAUAAUGUUGUGACUGCCCUGGAUUUUAAGUAGUUUUAGGCAAUCAUCUCAACACCAUAUCUCAUAUUAGUCAAUAAAACCCUCAACAUGUUAUUUACUACUGCAACUACGUCUCAACACCAAGCUAGUUGGGAUUAGAACAAUAAAAAUAGCUCUACUUUUUGUAGACCUAGUAAGUUUCCCCAUGAUGGGUUAAAUUAAACCGCAUGCUCCAAUCCUGAUGGUGCCCUUCCGUCAAUUCCUUUAAACUUAAGCCUUGCGAUCAUACUUCCCCGUAACCUAAACAAUUGCUUGAUUCUAGAAGCAAACUCAUAAUUUUGGCUUUUGUUGAACUCGCUUGACAGCUACUCUACACCUUAUGUUAUCUAUUGAUCUAUACUAAACGAAUAACAACAACUUUAGACUUCUGAAAAAUGCCUCAAGAGAAUGAGAAGGCAUGCAAAGUAGUUUCAAAGAAAGAACUAUACCAAGAAAUCUCACUAGAUUAGGCAAGAGGAUUGACCUAGACGACACUAUCUAGUUAAUGAAAGGUCAAAUAUAUUUUAAAGGACAAGGGUAUCAAGAAAAGGCUUUACAAACUGCAUAAUACAACUACUGCUACAAUAACAACAACUACAACUAGUAUGCCUCAAUCCCAUGCUAGUCAAGGACACUUUUGUCUCUAAGUGGAGCCCAACUUGCCCCAGGUCCUUGCACGGAAGUUGGAAGAAAGUAAACAUAAUUGCAUCUCUGAUCCUUCAACAUGUAUUUGAAACUCUUGACCUUGAAAUGGAUUUUCUGGUUUCAAAGGUGGGUUGGUUGUCGUUAGACUUAAAAUAUCAACCGUUUCAUUUCUCUGUGGUAUACAAUUCACGUUAAGGUGCAGCUCAGAGAUUUAAGAACUACCAACAUUUUUUUCUUUUUUUGAUAAUGGUGGUGUCAAUCCACAGUAUUACUAUGAUGCCUUAGGUAGUAAAUAGUACAUAGUUUGGUACGUUGUCAAUACGGCUCCAAUAUAGGAAUACCAAACACCUUAAUAUACUAAUGUGGAACUAAAAAAAAAAUCACUUUCUCAGAAAAGAAAUGGCAGAAUAGACAAAUUUAGGCUUGCAUUUUGCAAACAGAAGCUGAAAGUCUUCACUUUGGAUACAGUAAGGGUAUCUUUCAUCAGAGGGACCUGACAGGUGAUGACUACUAACUCCUAAAGUCCCAAAUGCACUUACGAAUCCAAAGCAAGAAAAUAUGUUUUAAGUGGAAGUGAAGAAUUUUUCCAUCUGGAAAAUGGUCCAUUUUAUCUCCAGAACAAAGGAUUAACAAAAUACUUAUUGGAGAGGAAAUGGUUAACUAAUUCAGCAGGGAGGGUAAUACUACCCGUGUAGUCACUAGUCAUGCUCUACGGAUAAUUCAACUACAUAAGUCGGCAAGUAACUGCAUUGUGCAAAAUACACAAAGAGCAUAACAUCAAAAUCACAAACUAAUGAAAUCACACCUAACCAUUGCGCCCAUUGAGAAAUCAGAUGAGAAAAUAGCAGCGUCCAGUGCAGGCGUUCCUGCCUUCGCCCUUCAUCCAACACAUCUUCGAGUGUACAUACCUAUAAUACAAAGAAUUCCCAUUUCACAAUCUAAUCCAAAUUUUCUCUACCAAAGCACAAAAUACCAAAAAGAGAAACUUUUAGCCACAUAACUCAAAAGAUUAUCAACAAAAAGCCUAUAAAAAGCAAAAUUAAUUGAAACCGACAAAAUCACAAAAUAACGCACAAAUACUCCAAAUAAAAGAGAAACUUUCAGCAACAUAAUUCAAAGAAGAGUAUCAUCAAGAACCCUAUCAAAAACAAAAUUAGUAAACUAAUCAUAAAAUAAAGCAGGAAUAUUACAAAAAGGCAAAACUUUAGAAAGAUAAUUCUAAAGAUUAUAAACAAAUAGCCUAUAAAACACAACUUAUAUUUAAAAAUAAACCCAGAAUUACCUGAUCACUGUCAUCAUAUUUAUUACACCCAAGUAAAGGCUCAUUUAAACCAUCAUCAGAGCCCAAAGAAUCAAAAUGCUCAUUCUUUUUGCCACCAACAUCCCCAUGAUGUAGCCUUCUCCUCAAAGUUGUUGAUGUCAUGAGUCUAUAUAUAUUCUUUGAACUCAAAACCCACUUUGAUUUCUCUAAUCGAAACCCAAAAAUUUGAGAAAAUUCCCAAAAAAAAUUCUCCUUUGAGAAUUUGUGUUCUUUUCUAUAGUAUUUAUAAUUAAUUUGCUGCUUAUUUUUCUUUUUUUGUCAGUGUGUUUAAAUUGUUUCUUUCUUGGGAAUUAAGGGAGGGGAGAUAGGUGAUGAAUGCACGCCAAUGAGAAAGCUUUAACGAGCUGAAUGGGUAGGUUUGAUUAAUUAAUUGCCGAUUCCGAGUCUUUGAGAUCUGGUUAUCGGGCUUGGGUUACCGGUCAAGUAAUAGUUUUUUUCUUUUCUUGAGUCAACUUUAAUACUUAAGGGGGUCAGUUUGUGAAAAUAGCACGGCCCAGCCAUACGCCAGUUUUUGGUAAAAAUAGCACGGUAUAUGAAACCCAUCAACAUUGGGAACACAUAUCCGGCCCUACAUCCGCAACACCCCAUUAUCUAUAAUAGAAACCUCCUUAGCAUUGCCGUGCUACAUUGUGUCCUUAAGGGCAAGCAAAUAGGGGUUGUCAUACUGACGCGCUCUAAUGCGCUCAUACAGAGAAGACCGAAAAACCACACAAGNNNNNNNNNNNNNNNNNNNNNNNNNGAUUGGAGCACCGGUGCUCCAAACUCCAGUAUAUUAUACCGGACAAUUAUACAGUAUAAUAUGCUGGAGUUCAAACAUACUUAUGCUGGAACUCCAGUAGAAUAUACUGACGUAUUUUUCGGGGUUUUGAACAGUGUUUUCGCUCAGAUUUAUCUUUACAUGAAAAGUGGCUAAAUUUCGAUUACUUUUGAAACUGGGCUAUUUUUGAACGACCAGUUGUAAAUCUGGCUAUUUUUGAAUUUCUCCCUAGUUUUUGGCGGGAUUAUUUUACUGAAACACGAAAAAUCUCAGCAUAAUAUGCGGUAUUAUAGAACUCAUAGUACAGUAUAUCACAAGUCCGACACACAAAAAGUUUCAGUAUAAUAUAUUAAAUUAUUGAGCUCUUGCAUAUAAACUUCUUGCAUAUUAUGUUGGAACUCCAGAACAUUAUGAAAUUCUAGCACAUUAUGUUGGAAGUUCAUAUGUAAAAAUUCGAACUCUAGCAUAUUAUGCUGGAAUAUUUCCGGACUUUUAAAGAGUUGUUUUGUUCAGAUUUUAUCUUUACAGGAAAAAGUAGCUAAAUUCUAAUUACUUUUGAAACUGUGGCUAUUUUUCAAUUACCAGUCGUAGAUCUGACUAUUUUUUAUUUUUUUCCCGAUCAAUUUUGAAAAAAUUGGCUGACGUGGUCCAGCUAUUAAAGUUUGGAAUAUUUAAAACAUGAUAGGAAAAUACAACAACAACAACAACAACCCAGUAUAAUCCCACAGGUGGGGUCUGGGGAGGGUAAUAUGUACGCAAACCUUACCCCUACCCCGGAGGGUAGAGAGACUGUUUCCAGGAGACCCUCGGCUCAAAAAAGCAAUAGGAGCCGAUAUAUUAGUACCAUAAAAAUGCAUAAUAAAAUAACAGCAAUAUAAGAGAUAUGAAAUACAGAAUACGUAAUAAAAUACGUGAUAGGAAAAUACUGAAUGGAAAUAACAUGAGGCAGCCACUUUUAAACAUGUUAUUUAAAACAUUUUAACUGUAUUGGUCUAAAUUUGACAACUUGGUAACGGUAGAUAAACAGGAUCGAGGACGGAGUCGACCACGACGUAAUAACGGGAAGCCGUCUUCGAGAAGACCGUUGUCAAAGACGAGCAGCUGGAGUAAAGAAAUAACGGUAGGAUAGGUUCAGAAAUGGACACAAGGAAUAUUCCUUUGGAUAUUCCUUUUUUGUACUUUUUAGAGUUUUUUAAAAAUAUCCCUAAUAAAUAGGAAGAGAUAUAGAACGAAGGGGGAUCUUCACUUUUUGAUAAAAGCAUAUUGUAAAAGGUUUACUAUAAGGAAUAUAAAAAAGUUGUUUGGUUCACUGAUUAUCGGAUUGAAGCACACGUUAUUUAACCUUUGUUCACAAGAUCCAAAGAUUUCUUAUCCAUUCUUACUUCUCAUUUUUCCACGUCGCUUACAGGAGAAAGAACCAUCCAACUCAUAUAAUAAUUGGGUGGUAGAUUCUUUCUUAUUAUAUUUAUUGUCAUUAUCUACAUUUAUUGCAUGUUCAUGUUACAAUAUUUAUGGAUAAUCAUUUAGCACAAAUAUGCUAUUUAAUGCUCUCAAACGCCGUUCAUCUUACCAAUAUCCUGCAAUAUUUGAUCUAGAAUUUAUUAUAUUUAACUAAGAUUCACCCUCCGUUUCAUCAUUAAUUAGUUUAACAAAAAACUUAACACUUUUUGGUCAAAUAAUUUGGCACCGUCUAUGGGGAGUUGUUUAGUUGAAAUUUUUAGUUUCUUCUAGAUCAUAAAGAAGGACAUCCAUCUUUUUCUCGUUUGCACAAACUAACAACGGCAGAGAAAGGAGAUGAAAGAUAGAAAGUAAUAGUGGGUGUCACUACUAAUAUCUUAAACACCAUCAACGAGGACGACAUAGGAGAUGAGGAGAAUGUGACGCCGAGUGCUACGCCCAAGCAGAGUGAUUCACCUCCCCCUCAUGGAAGUGUAACCGCUUCACGCGAAAGGGGAGCUUCCACGUCCACAGCUAAGGAAGCGCCACCAACAGUGAAAAAAUUACUGGAAGAAUGGCUAACAAGCACUCUAAAUAACAUACUUGACAAACCCGUUCAACGGGCGAAUAGGAACGUCAUACAGACAGAUACCACAACGAUCGCCGACGAGCAACCUGCUCCCCCAACAUGUAACACUCACACUGCUGUUGAUGCAAGUAAUGAUGCACUUGCGGCCAUCCUAAAGAAAAUGGAAGAAAUGAAAAACGAGAACAAAGUACUCCGCGACCAGAUGAGGAAACAUCAAGAAAGGGUCGAUAAGAUAUCGAGCACCCCAAAACUGCUGCCAAAACGAGAUGUCGGUCGAUUUAUCGAACAAUCGUAUAGCGAGGAGGCAGCCUCGCAUGCCAUACCCAAGACCUUCAAAAUGCCACCGUAUUUGAAGAUAUAUGAUGGCACCACAAACCCCGAAGAUCACAUCAUUCAUUACGUCACAGCGGUAAAAGGCAACGACCUUCCAAAGGAGCAGGUGCCAUCAGUAUUACUGAAAAAGUUCGGUGAGACCCUAACGGGGGGAGCCCUAACAUGGUACUUACAAUUGCCAACAUGUUCAAUCACAACGUUUGAAGAAAUGGCCGACAAGUUCGUCACCGCCCACGCUGGGGCUAAAAAGGUGGAGGCUAGGGUGAAUGAUAUAUUUGUCGUUAGGCAAUCGCGUGGCGAGGGACUCAGGGACUCAGGGAACGAUAUAUUCGUCGUUAGGCAAUCUCCUGGCGAGAAUACUGAUACUUAUGUCAAUGCAAAACGAAUAGGUUUUUGAAAUAGACCCUUGUAAUACCUAUAGGCAGGAUAUCUAAUGAGAUUAAAGCAAUGCUGAAAGAACCAUUUUCAGGAGAUGUUAUCGCUUAAUAAGACCAGUUUUGAAAAGUAAACUAGGCGAGAUGAAAUCGACUUAUUAGACUAAUUAGAUUUUUAGACGUAAUUACGAAUAGAAAUCCCUGUAGGCAUGAUAUCUAGGCGUGUUAGUGGUUUUAGGCAAUUUGUAGUAACAUGUGAAAAAAAACUUAUUGAAUCAGAGUUUUGUCCUAUAGGCAUGGUAUCUAUACUUGAAUUGAUUUAAAACAUGAUGGCUUGGAACCUAGAAACAUGAUUUCUAACAUGACAAAUGCAGGAUUUAUGAACAUGGUUUAUAUCUGAUGCAAAUGACAUUAAAAGUGAAAACCUAUAGGCAUGAUGUCUAUUAUGCAAAAUGAAAUCAGAUUCAACAAGAGUCACACCCUAUGAACAUGUUUUCUAUUGAGUAAAGAAGGCAGAUUUGAAAGUAAAAUCCUAAGAGUAGGAUUUCUACCCAUAUUACCCCACAAAGUAUACAUCUACCCACCAUUUUACUAAAUUACCCCGAAUAUUUGUUUACAAAAUAUUACAGGCCAACAAAUGAAUUACAUAAAUGAAAUAGCAAACUAAGAAGCUAUUCUAUAGGGAGCCUGCAAUCAGGCCCACGUUUCCCAAAGCCUCCAAUGGUCUUUCAAACCUCAUUUCUAUAGACAAAUCAGAGUCUAGGUGCAUCAAAGUUCCCUAAGGGUCUCAAGGACCCCGGGCAAUGCUUACACCUAGACUUAGUAGCCAAGCAUUGAACCAGUGCAGUGUGGAAAGCCAGCCUUAGUAUGCCAGAGUUCCAAGGGUUCUCAAGAGGAUCCCAAGGCAGUACACAUACUAGAGGGGUAGAACUUAUUAACUAAGAGUAGAGUGAAAGUGCAAGACUCAUGUUUGAAAGAAGUUUAUUAAAGACUGGACUCAAAAGUUUGUUUUGAAAGUAAUUAGUAACAGAGAUUGCUGAAAAGAAGUUGGAAUAGUAAACAGAUUUCAAACACUUCAGGAUAGGACCACACACAACAAGUUCACAGAAUAUAAAUGUAUUUAGUAAUCACACAGGGGUUAAGGGGUUGGGGAUACACAGACAUUGCCUGCAGACACAUGACCCCAGCAGGAGUAUUAGGACUGGUAUGGACAUGCUCAGAGAUAGCUUGACACUGGCAUAAUCACAAACCAGUCAUGAGGAACAUAAACACUUAGAGGGGAAUAGGGAUUUGGGAUUCACAAAAUGGUAAGUGCACAGUAGGUAAAGGAAAACAAUUGUCCAGGCAUGCUUGAAUCAUACAAGGGAAAACAUGAACUUAAAGGGAGGUGAGUCAUACUAGCAUGCUUAACUACAGACUUCACAACAAAACCAUAAGUCAAAGCAGGCUAGAAAUAAAAGAAACUGAAACAAGAAGAGAAACAUGUUGUUGUUAUGGCUAUAAUCAAAACUAGGACAUACCGGUGAAGAUAGAAGUAAGCAGAAUGAAAGAACCAAAGAGCACAGAUAAUUAGCCUUGGCUUGCAGCCGGCUAGUAGUAAUAUAAUAAUACAGAGAUUUUAAAUAAGAGAAGGGUUUUUUGGAAGCCAAGUCUAUCUUGUUUGUGAAAGACUUAGGGUAUUUAUAGUUGAAAGUAGCUAGUGGAAUAAGGUAAAAAACUUAGUAGUAUACUAAUUUAAGAACUCAGAAUCAAUCACUUAGAGAAUCAACGAAGUACUUCCUUGAGUUAGGGGAAUCAAGGUCAAACGGGAAGAUUCAAUACCAUAUAAGGGGGAAAGGAGGAAUCAGUGCAUAAUUAAACAAGGAAAGGAGCCAGAGUCCAUUAGGCAUAAAAUAGUCGAUUAGGACCAAAUUCAGAAAGACCCAAUUAAGGAAAGACUAAGUAAAACCAAGUAUCGUAGUAAAUAAGGUAAUAAAAUCAGUGAAUUCAAACAGACGAGUAGAAUUCUAGGAUCUUGAAUGAAAAUCUUUCAAUUACCAACAGUUAAGGAAAAUCAGAAUCAAUCAUGAGGGGUCAUGAUUCUGCAUGUUUCAACAUAUAAAUAGAGAUGAAUGAACAGAAGUAGCAAACAAAACAAGGCCAAUUAUAUAGGCAGAAAGAAAUAAGAGAUGAGCAAACACAGUCAUAUAGAGGCGAUGUAAGUAGGCUGGAGAUUCAGCAGAACAUAUUUGAAGCAUGGUGAUCAUGAGAGAUUAACAAGACCAAAGAAAAUCAGGCUAAUACGCAGAGCCAAGGCAAAGAAAAUCAUGCCAACACAUGGAACCAAAAGUGGAGAAAAUCAUGCUAACAAACAGAAGCAAGUAAAGGGAAUCAUGCUAACAUGCAGAAACAAGUAAAGCAAAAUCUUUAACACAAGUAAAGAAAAUCAUGCUGACACACAGAACAAGUAAAGGAAAUCUUAAAAAAUUAGGGCAUUUUAAUAGAGUCGAGUUAAAAAGCAGUAGGAACAUAAAAUCAAUCAAAAUAAACAAGGGAAAAAGGUUUAAUCAUGAAGAAAUCGGUUGAAACAGGUAUAGAAAGAAUUCCGAAGAAACCCUAGUUUUCAAAGAAAGUAAAAAUGGUUUAGAGUAGAAGAUCUUUCAGAAGAAAGCUCAUGAAUGAGCAAAUCAUAGAAGGAAUCAGGCUCAAAAACAUGAAAAUAACAUAGAUCUGAAAGAUCCAAAAGAGAGUUAGGGUUUCAAAAGGAAACCUAAGUAGAAAUCAAAAGAACCUGUUGCAACUUCACAAAUCGUAACACACGUGGUGUAAUUUUGCCCAAAAUCACACCAGAGAAGCCUCGAACAGCAUAAUCGAAAACCCUAGGUCCAAAUCGUCAUGGCCCAGGGCCCUUGAAUGCCUUAGAGAUGAUGAGCAAGGUGAUGAGAGUGACCACUGGAGGCUUGGGGUUUGAGAGAUAGUCGCCGGAGAUAACUGGAGAAGGAGGUGAAUGGAGGAGUCUAGCGUUAGGUUUGAGAGAAGAGUGGAGAUGAGAGAGCAUCUGAAUGCGGCGGAUUGGAGAAAUGGUUUAGGGUUAGGGGUCGACUAGAGUUAAAAAAGGAAGGGAAUGAUUUGGACCGUUAGGAUUGAAAUGGGUAGGUGGGUUUCAGGUUUGGGUAAGGAUUAUAGGGUAUGGGUCGGGUGAUUUGGGUGUGAAAUUGGGCUGGAAAGGGGUCCAAUUUUGACUAUAAUUGAAAGCCAAAUUUGGUUGUUAUUUAAAUAGCCAAUUUUCCUAUAUUUAAUUUAUAAAAAAUAGUAGGUAAUUUCUGAAAAAUAAAUUAAGGUACCAAAAAUGAUUUAAAAUACACAAUUAACAAUUUAAAAAUACAGGAUCCAAUUUCAUGCAUAUAAACAUAAUUAUAUCUAAAAAUGGGCCAACAUUGCAAUUAUAUGCAAUUUAGCUUUUUAAAAAUACUAAAUGUAAUUGUAAAAACACAUAAAAUUUACGUUAGCCAUAUUUUGGCAUAAAUAUAGAAAUACAAUAAAUGAAUUAUCAAAACAAUAAUUUUGGAAAUAAUUAUUGGGAUUUUUAUGGAUAAAAAGAGAGAAAAUAAAUCAAUUUAAGCUCUUAAAAUUAUGAAAAAAAUAAUGAAAGCCUUGUGCAUGCUUAUAUAUGCAUAUAUAUAUGGUAUUUUAAAGGCAUUUAUGCAUAUUUAAAAUAUAUAGGAAAAAAUUGGGUAUCAACAACUGGCCCUCUUUACCCGGGAAAGAUGAAAGAAUUUUUGGGUAAAGAAAUAAUGGCCAAUUUUGAUCGGAUGGGAUGUUUUGAAAGACAGAGACUGAGCUCCGGUUUCCAAGUAGCCUACAUAUCCCUAGUUUUAUAGGAAUCAGGCCAUGUGUAGUUCUGGAUUCACCUGCGGAGUAUGCCGAUGAAACUACUACAAGAACGGACACGAGAUGUGGGAGCGGCUAUGAUCGGGACGGUUGGAGGGAACUGGAGCGAGAUUGCUCUUGCUAGGAUAGCGGUUGCUUACUGGUUACCUACAGAUAAAAGAUGCUACAAUCAUAUUUACGAAAAUUUAAACAUGAUGCAAAUUCCCUUUGGACCAUGAAGGUUGUCUUCGGACGAUUAAAGAUGACGUCCUUAGACCAUGAUGUCUUGGGUCAUGAAUUGUUUAAUAAGGGAUUCACAGGACAUGAAAUGAUGUUCUCGGUCCAUGAAAAUGGUGUCUCCGAACUAUGACGCCUUUGAAUAAUGAUAUGCAAAUUUGAGAGAUCCUCAGGCCAUGGUAUGGUGUCUUCAGGCUAUGAGGAUGGUACCUUUAGACUAUGAUGCCUUUGGACAGAUUGGCGAUAUUUUAGCCCAUGAUAUGCAAUAAUAUGAUGUAACAAAACAAGAUUUAGUCUUGCGAAGCAGAGGGCAGAGCUCAGCCUAAUUGGAAAACAGGUAGAUAGUAGUAGAAAAUAGAGUAAUAUUGGUGCAAAGAGGGACAACGCUUAGUCCCAUGUGAGUGGGGAGGCAAGGAUUAUCCUUAUGCAAAUGGGGAGGCAAGAAUUAGCCUCAUGCAAAUACGGAGUCAGGGCUUAGACUCAUGCAGGUAUGAAGGCAAGGAUAAACCUCAUGCAAAUAUGGAGUCAGGGAUUAGACUCAUGCAAGAUUGGAGAUAGAGCUUAAUCUCAUGCGAAAGAGAAGGCANNNNNNNNNNNNNNNNNNNNNNNNNNNNNNNNNNNNNNNNNNNNNNNNNNNNNNNNNCGGGGCUUAGACUCAUGCAAAUAUGGAGUCAAGGAUUAGACUCAUGCAAAUAUAGAGUCAAGGUUAGACUCAUGAAAAUAUGGAGUUAAGGAUUAGACUCAUGCAAAUAUGGAGUUAGAGAUUAUACUCAUGCAAAAAGAAAAUAACAGAUAAGGGUAGAAUAUAUCUUAGCUAGGAUAGGUUCAGCGUCUAACGGCCGGAUGGAUAGUCAAUUUGCUUUGUGUACGAAUGCUAUCGUCAAAUGUGCCUGUGUUCAAAGAAAAUUUGUAAGUUUCAUGAGGGGAGGUUGGUUCUUGCUUCGUCUGCCAGCCUUGCUUUGCUCCGCUCUGUAAGCCCCAUUUGAGUUCCCCUAGGUAGCACCUGACCAUUAUGAAAAAUAGAAUUUUCGAAAAAUAUGCAUUCAUUGAUAAAAAAUGGAAUUAUUUUGGAAGCGUAUUGAUAUAUCAAGUAACUUUUGAUGAACUAGCAAAUGUGACAUAUUUCAAAGGCAUCGCAACUCUCUUAUGUUGGAAUUUUGAGGGUCCUCCUCAAAAUUCUACCCCAGUUUGGUAGAUGAUUUUCAACUAUUUUGCGGAUGGUGGACCUUGCUGAAUCUCCUUCGGAAUUUUGAGAAUCCUUCUCAAAAUUCUGCCCCAGUUCUUGACUGAUGACUGACUUCUUGGCACGCGUUGGCAUUGGUUGGACUUGUUCCGGAAUUUGAGAACCCCCCUCAAAAUUCUGCCCCAGUUCUUAACCAAUUUCUGACCUUCUGACAUGCGAUGGUGUUGGCUGGAUUUGUUCCGGAAUUUUGAGGGUCUUCCUCAAAAUUCUACCCCAGUUUCUGAUUUUGGGAAAAAUGAAAAUUUUAUUAUGAUAUGACCAAACCCAUAAGGCUACCUACGUAUUCCCUCUUAAACGGGAAUCAGGUCAAGCGUAGUUCAAUUUUCCUCGGGUAUCCCAUCUUCUUCCUCUGAGUCACUAUUCUCAUAUUGCGUUGCCUCAUUACAUGUCACAGUCACUGGUGCAUCAGGAAAAGUAAUAAUAACACUAUAUAAGGGAAAAAGUAUAAAAAUAAUAAUGAAUAAUGAUAAAGGAUGAAUGCAUUUGAUUAAAACUGAGAAAAUUGUUCAAACAAAGCUUGGCUCGGUGAAUCGGGCAUUUAUUUUGAAACAAAGAAAUCUCAAAACAAAAUUGCAGGAAAUUUUAAAUGCCUAGAACGGCUAUAAAUUCUGCCAAACUACCCAGGGACUCUGAGGGCUCGGGAUGGUGUGGCGGUCCAAUUUCUGAGGAUAACUCCCUUUGCCACGGUCUGAAUGGAGAGGCAUUCCUCCUCCUCCUCCUCAAUUAUGGCACUGUAGUCCAUAUCCUCAUCCUCCAAGAACAGAUCCUUCAGCCCAGCUAGUGCUUCUUCUUCAGCAGUUCCCCAUAUUGUGUCUGCCUGAUGGAAAGCCUGUUCCAAACGGGGUAUCGGUUGCUUGAGAGGGUAAUAUGGUCCACGCUAUGGAGGCGACCAUUCCCUAUAAUCCUGCCAUGUAUACUGGUAUCCGAGCCCAAAGGUGGUACCAUGAUUUUUCAGUCGUAUCGGCUUGGUGAUGCCUUGGAGGUUCUUUCCCAACCCUUUGCCGGGUUCAUAUCCAGACCAUGCUAGUAUGCUUUCUAUUUUAUUACUCCACCACUUAUCCUUCUCGAUGACAUUGACCUAUUCAAUGUGAUAGUAGGUUUCCCCUCCUAGCCUUCUUCUAAGUCCGAUAGCCGGAAUGGUCUGACUAGUGUAGAUGGGGUUACUCCCAUCUCCAUGAAUGAUUACCUCCUAACGGUUCCAUUCGAAUUUUAUGACUUGAUGUAGUAUGAAGGGUACGACUCCAGCAGCAUGGAUCCAUGGGCGGCCCAACAAAAGACAAUAUGAGGCUGGUAUGUCAAGCACUUGGAAUUUAACAUCAAACCAAGUUGGUCCCAUCUGCAAGCAAAUGUUGAUUUCUCCAAUCGUGGCCCUCUAGGACCCAUCAAAAGCCUUCAAAUUCAUGCUUCCUGUCCGUAUUUCAUGGAAACCUUUGUCCAACCUUUUCAAGGUGUCCAAUGGACAAAUAUUUAGACUUGAACCUCAUCAACCAGGACCCUGGCAAUGAACUUGUCUUCAAAUUGUACAGUAAUGUGCAAUGCUCGAUUGUGAUUCAGAUCCUCAGGAGGCAGCUCGUCUUUGUGGAAGAUAAUCUUAUGGCUCUCCAGCACCUGACCGACUAUGUUGGCCAUUUCUCCACCAGUGAUAUUAUUGAGUAUAUAAGCCUCGCUCAGUACUUUCAUUAAGGCAUUCUUGUGUGCCUCUGAAUUCUGUAAUAGCGACAGGAUAAAUAUCUGAGUAGGAACUUUGUUCGGAUAGUCAACAACAGAAUACUCUUUUGCCUGUACUUUCCUCCACAGAUCAUCCGGCCCGGUCUCAAUGAUAGGUUGCCUAGCAGUGGCAUCCUUACUUGAACCUCCUAGGUGUUUAGGUGUGUAGACUCUUCUAGUUCUAGCCAUCCCUUGUGCGGCGUUAGAUUCCUCUAUCUUAGUCUUCCCUUUUAGCCGAGCAUCAGCGACAUAAUCCCAGGGUAUCGCUUUUGAGUUGAACGGGGGUGUGUUUGACACCGUCAUAGUAAAAGGUGUGACCACUUCUACUUCAAAUGGAGCGGAGGUGGCUACGGGCGGAGCUACUUCCACCUCAAAUGGAACUGAUGUAGUUACCUCAACGUCAAUUGGUGCCUGAGUCUGAACCACAAUAGGAGUAAGUGUAACUGCAACCUUAAAGUCAUCGCCCUCUCGGAUAAGCCCGAUCGACCCCUCGGGGUCCCAUUCCUCAUUCGUUUCUAUGACAUGCACACCAUCGCCUCUAUGAUCAGGGAGGGGAUUGUUGCGGACAUUAGGUGCGACUUUCUUCGCUUGUAUGACCUUGUUGUCAAUGAGUGUCUGAAUCUUAUCCUUCAAUGUUCGACAAUCAGCAGUGGUGUGCCCUUUCAUGCCAGAGUGGUAUGCACAAGUUUUGUUCGGAUUGACCCAUUGGGAUGGAUUUUCCAGUGCCACAGAGGGAAUAGGAGUGAUGUAACCUGCUGCCUUUAACCUUUCAUACAACUGGUCGAUGGGCUCAGUAAUGGCGGUGUAUUAUCUGGGUGGCUUGUGGUCGAAAUUGGGUUUUGGUCUUGGAUAAUUUUGGCGAUUUGGUGGUGAUUGGAAGUGGGAUGGUUGGGAAUUGUAGGUAUGAUGGACAUCGGCUAGUUGGGAAUAUCUGGGAAAUGAGGGUUGAUAUGUAGGUGGUGAUGCUUGGUAUGUGGGUGGAGACGCUUGGUAUGUGGGUGGAGGUGCUUGGUAUGUAGGCGGAGGUGUCUGGUAUGUAGGUAGGGGUGUUUGGUAUGUGAGUGGAGUUUUUGGGCCAUGGGCCACCAUUACUGCCCCAACAUCUUUUUUCUUCGAUAUGCCACCUGAUUGGAGUGCCUUAUUCGUGGCUUGCAGUGCCUCAAAAUUUGUAUACCGAUCUUGAUUCCUUCCUCGAUCCUUUCCCCGAGCUUGAUGAUAUCAGAGAAUUUGUGAUUUUCGAUGACCAUCAGUCUCUUAUAAUAUUGUGGAUCCUGUGUUCUGACGAAGAAUUUAUUCAUCUGUUCUUCGUCCAAAGCGGGCCUGACCUUGGCGGCUUCCGACCUCCAACGAGUAGCAUAUUCGCGGAAAUUCUCAGUAGGCUUCUUCUUGAGAUUCUGAAUGUAGAAAACAUCAGGUGCAUUUUCGGUGUUGAACCUGAACCGGUCCAUGAAAUCUGACACCAUGCUUGCCUAAUUGGACCAUUUCUUGGGAUUCUGGCUGAUAUACCAAGACAAUGCGUCCCCAGUAAGGCUCCUCAUAAAGAGCUUCAUCCGAAUUUUUUCAUCUUUUCCAACCCUAACUAGCUUAUCACAGUAAGUCCUUAGGUGAACCCUGGGAUCACCUGUACCAUCGAACAUUUUGAACUUGGGAGGUUUGUACCCCUCUGGCAAUUCCACGUCGGGCUGUAUGCAUAGAUCUUCAUAUUUUAAACCUUCUAUUCCCAUAUCGCCUUCGACACCUUGAACCCGACUUGUUAACUUCUUGAGUUCUUCAGCCAUGUUCUUAAUGAGCAGGUCCCUUUCGGAGGGUUCCGUUGCACAGGAGAUCGGUUGCGUAGAAUAUGGUAUAGUUUCCACAUAUAUGGGGUUGCUCUGAUGGGUGCCAAGAACUUGAGUAUAGUGAUGGUCAUUGGUGGAGUUUUGUGGAUCUGGAAUGAGUGGUGGUGUAUUUUAGGGAGUGUGGUAAGUUGUGGUUGGUGGGUAUGGAAUUUGUGGUGGAGUUGGUAUCGGUAAUGGAUUGACAUUUUGAUGUGGAGUUGCGUAUUGAUUUGGUAUGGUAGGGUUUUGUGGCUAUUGGUUUUAAGGAGGUGUUGGGUUCUUUGCAUUCUGUUGGUGGAUAUCAGGGACAUUGAGGGUGAUUGACAAGUUAGCCAAAUUGCAGACCUACUCAAGUUCUCCUUGCAGUUCUAGUAUCUUUUGUUCAAGUCUCAAAACCAGGUCAUUCGGGGCCGGGGCACUACGGCCAUCAGAGUUCUUUGCGUUCUCAAUGUUUUCCUUUCGAAUUCCACUUAAGUCGUCCAUCUUUGAUUUCCCUCUGCUUUUUGUGUUGCUUGGAGGAGGAUGAGGUGGAGGGCCUCUAGAUCUGGUAUGAUAUGCUGACGAGGCCAGUAUGGACGAACCAACCUAUGGGGAUGAGAAUAAUAAUUAUAAAAGCAAACAAACAAAAGGUAACAAGUUAGCGGGGAUCCUGAAAUGUUUGCAAUAUUUAACACAUAGUGUGAAAUAUAAAUUUGUAUCCUAAUUUAGGAGCCUCGUUGUGCCCGAGGUAGGCCUAGCGGCAAAUAAAUUUGGAGAACUUAAAAUGCCAAUAAAUGCUUCAUUUCAUAAUAUAAAAGUAGAUGAAUCCAAAAACGAAACUAACAUAAUAAUAGAACAAGUCACUACUGGCACUUGGCCUUAUUACAUUUUAAGGAAAGCAAGUAAAUCUAACCUAUUUAGUCCUAGAAGGACCUUCCUCAUAUUCGAUCUUCCGGACUCCAUCAAACAGAUCUCCCAGCUCGUGCAGUCCCAGCAGCAAGUAGGCUCGGGCCAGAUGUCCUCCCUCGGCUCCUUCAGCAUUUUGACAGUUUUCAAUCCUUUUUAUGACUUUGCCCUCUAGGUCCACUAUUCCUCGCUCCAGGUAUUCCAGUUUUCUGUUGGAAGUGACCGCCAUCUCUUUCCAUUCCUCGAUCAACCUCACAUUUCUCUCAUGUAUCUCCCGAUGCUCAUUCUCAGAGUCGUGGACUCUCUUGCGCAGCCUGUUGUACUUGACUUGGGCUUCAGCUUCCUCAUCUAUGAUUCUGUUCCCUCGACCAGUCCCCGGUGUUACUGCUCCUUUCAUAUUGUCCUCCAACCAUGCAGACUAGAGAGGCUCGCACCCCGUAUGAUAUUUGUCUGGCUCGAUAGUGUUUUUCUCCACAAUGAUUUUGCAGUGCCACAUGUGCUGAGCUUGACACUUGUAAGGUAUGUCAUUGUCUUGGAAAUCUGCCCUGAAAUGACUCAUCUUGACGACCCUUGGUACAACCUUUUUUCUGCCUACUUGCCUCAUAACUCGUAUAGGAACAUAUGGAUAUAUCCCUCUCAACCCGAUCAACACCAAAUGUGGAGCAUCCCUGGACCUGAUAAUGAACUCGUCCGUUGGAAACUAUUCAACCAUCCACUGCACAUGUUCCUCGGUCAGAUUGUCGAAGAACUCUACCCAUUCUCUGGACUUUCCGGCUGAGUAAAUCUGUCCGAAAUGUAGGUCAUCUGCUUAGGGUGAUGUAAAGCGAUGUGGUCGUUCCAAGCCCUUCACGGAAAUUCUUGGCGAUAACGACCCUUUUGGAGAUGCUCCAACAACCAUAACUGUAGCAACAAGUUGCAACCCUCAAAAUGUUGGACCCCUUUUUGACAGUGCUCUAGGGCCCUAUGGAUAUCAGCUAUGAUCAUGGGGACUAUGGUAUACGUCUGCCUAUUAAUCCCCUCAAUCAGAGUUUUGGCGACCAUGGCCAACCUUGUGUGGAUUCUUCCCUUUUUCAUUGGGAAUACUAUCAUCCCCAGAAAGCACACGAUGAACACGAACACUCUUCGGUGGAUGUGACAUAGUGAAGUAAGGGCGAUCUCAUCAUGAUAAGUGUGGAAGGACUUGCUGUGGCCAUACCUCUCGUAGAUAUAUUUGAAAGAUAUGUAGGAGUCCUUCAGGCACACUAAAUCGACAUUCUUUUCAGUCCCAUCAUUUUCAAAAAACCCCUACCUGUACGGUUUUCUGGUACCAAAAGCCCGGGACUGUCCCAAGUCAACCCGCCAAGUCCUCAUAUUUCCUCUAAGAGCGGUGUUAUUUCUAUGUCGCCGAAUCGGAACACGGCUCUUUCACUAUCCCAGAAUAGGGUGGAAGCCUCGAUCAGUUUCUUGUUUGGUUCAAUAUCUAGCAAGGAAGGCAAAUUAUCUAGGUACUUUUUCACAUGCUUCUUGUCACUUGAGGAAAGAUCUUCCCACCAAUUUAUCAACAAUGGAGGGAUAUUGCUAGUCAUACCGAAUCUGGGGACUUCGUGCCUCAUUUUCUGCAAAACAAAGGGGUUAGGCCUUACCCCCACUGGACUCGACUACUUAUACAUUUACGAUCAGCAUAUCGGCAUUUAGUCCUCCAAAUUAAUGCACAGAACGUGAUUGCGUCCGUUGGGAUUAUGGAAAACCCGAUGGACUUUGGAUAAGGCUUAUCUUAAAGGAUUAUUAUGUGGACAACAUAACUGAUCCAACUAGGUUUGACCAUGAUGCAUGCACAAUUUAAACAGAGUAAGGUUUCUAUGGGAUUUUAGACUGGUACCCUCAAGCGGACAACUUGAGAGGGAAGGCACGGAACCGUCGACUGCAUCGCUGUUCGAUUGGUUUUACCGCAAAUAAGCCUUUCCGAAUUUAAGGGUAACAAAUAGGAAGAGCGCAAACACUCAUUAAACUGUUGCUAUAGAAUUUGAGACGCACGAGUGGAAUAUGAUGCGGAGCAUGAUCUAUGCAGCAGUUAAUAACAUGUAGGCAAGUAUUUUCACGUAGGAAAAAAUAAAUACAACAUUUAAAUAAUUGAAAAGACAAUUACAUAAAAAGGAAAACAAAUAGACAAGUCAGUUUUCAGUGUAAUAAAGGAAUCAUAAACGCUUGAAAAAAAAACCAAAUAGACAAUUAAAUCCAGAUAAGGGAGCAGGGUAUGGGAUAAGCAUGCUUGGAAAGGACAAGUUCGUUAUGGUUGAUCGUAGCCUACUCCGCACCACUAAAAAGUAGAGAGAGAGGGUCGCAAUAGCUUUUACCCGAUUUUGGGUCGGGAUCGAUUUCCACAGAGAGCUAGAAAGGGAGUUGAGUAUCUAUUUAGGUUGGGAUUGCGUAUUGGUUCCAAAUUGCACUUCUAUUCAUUUUUGGGUUUUCUUUUAUAAUUCUACUAUUAUCAAACUACAAAUUAUAAUUGCAACUAGAUUAAGCUAAGAGUAAAAUGCUACAAGUUGUUCAAAUAUUCUAAAAGGCACUAGCGUAGUGACCUUUACCUAGGUGGCCAAUUGACGGGUAAUUGCGUCUAAGACACGAUUGACAUGAUUGAGGAAUAUGUUAUAACUGUUGCUCGAUAUUAUCCAUUCUCACAUCUCGCAGUAGAAAGAAUGAUUUUGCCCAAUUGACUUUCUCAAGACCAAUUGGGUAUGCAUAUUUGCUCAAGCAACUAAGGUUCAAGUCGGGUAUUACUCUCUCGAGGUUUAACCCUUUAAUUGGGACUAUCAAUUCUCUUGAGUCCAUCCCAAUUUCUUGUUGGAUCAAUUUCGGAGACUUAGGCUCUCUUUCUCAAGAAGAGCCCAAGUUAAAUUAGCACAAACUAGUGUUUGCAACCACUGAUUCAGUAAUUAAACCAUGAAAUUGACCCAAAUAGCAAAUACCCAUAGUCAAUCUAGCCCUAAAUUACAACACCUAUCAAUUACCCACACUAGGGUUGAGCCACAACCCUAGCUAAUGGGUCUAGCUACUCAUACUUGAAGAGAAAAACAGAGAAAUAGAUGAAGAUGAACACAUAUUAAUUAAUUGCUAAGCUAAAUACAAAUGUUCAAUGAUAAAAAGUAAGUAAAAAUGCCCAAAAUAGCUACAAGAUAUGUUCCCACGAGCACAACAGCUGUUCUAAAAUGUCUGAUACCCUAAAAAUGAAAAAAAGGAUCUAUUUAUACUGAGCUAGAAAAAUUGGACAAAAAUGCCCCUGCGGGGUUAGUGCAGACCGCACAAAAUGGUGUGUGGCUACACUAGGCUCUUGAACUUAAAAACUUGGCUCUCUGAACUCAGGCUCCGCAGACCUCACAGAAUGGACUGCGGCGGCGGAGGCUUCUAGUGCGGUCCGCACAAACUGGACCGCGGACCACACAUGCUUGAAAGCAUUGACUUCACCCUCUCUGAACCUUGACUCUGCGGACCGCACAGAAUGGUAGUGUGACCGCAUUACCUUUAGUGCGGACCACACAAAACCUUCUGCGGCCGCACUGCCUUGAUGCCUGAAGUACCAACUCUCUGAGUCUCCCUAGUGCGGACCGCACAAAGUGUAGUGUGGCCGCACUAGGCCUGUUUUUCCUAAGUUUGUCUUGUCUUUGGUACUUGUGCAAGUUUCACUCCUUUUGACCUGAUCUUUGACAUCUUGUCACUUUAUUGAUCAAACCUGCAAUCAAGCACAACAUAUGAGCCUUUUGGGACUAUUUUGUAUGAAUUUAUAAUGAAAGCAUAAGCAAGAAGGAGUAUAAAAUGCGUCAAAACUCCUAGUUAUCAACUCCCCCAAACUUAAGCUUUUGCUUGUCCUCAAGCAAACAAAAUAAGACUCACCCCUUAAGGGAAAAUCCAAGAAAUUUCAGUUGUCCUAAAGCAACCUCACUAGCAUCAAUUGGGACUAACAAUUGCCCUCAAUACAAAAGAGUUAUUAACAAUAUUUAACCUUUGAAAAACCAUGGAUCACUUGUGACACAAGAGCUUCAAGAAUUGACUCAACACAUCAAAGAACUCUCUCAAUUACUUUGGUCAUUGUGGAACCCAAACUUACACAUCCUCAACUCUCCUUAAGCAAACCUCACCUUUAGAAUAUUGGCAGCAAAACGAGGCUAAUGGAAUUCCACUCAUCUCUCUCAAGAAAAAGUCACAAGUCCAGCUCUAAGUAUCAUAUACUUGCCCCUUAUGUGAGUAUCCACUAAUGUAAGCUUCAUUCAACUCAAGAUCGUAUAGGGCUUUUAUGGAAAUAUUGUGAAGCUUUUGUUCAGGGNNNNNNNNNNNNNNNNNNNNNNNNNNNNNNNNNNNNNNNNNNNNNNNNNNNNNNNNNNNNNNNNNNNNNNNNNNNNNNNNNNNNNNNNNNNNNNNNNNNNNNNNNNNNNNNNNNNNNNNNNNNNNNNNNNNNNNNNNNNNNNNNNNNNNNNNNNNNNNNNNNNNNNNNNNNNNNNNNNNNNNNNNNNNNNNNNNNNNNNNNNNNNNNNNNNNNNNNNNNNNNNNNNNNNNNNNNNNNNNNNNNNNNNNNNNNNNNNNNNNNNNNNNNNNNNNNNNNNNNNNNNNNNNNNNNNNNNNNNNNNNNNNNNNNNNNNNNNNNNNNNNNNNNNNNNNNNNNNNNNNNNNNNNNNNNNNNNNNNNNNNNNNNNNNNNNNNNNNNNNNNNNNNNNNNNNNNNNNNNNNNNNNNNNNNNNNNNNNNNNNNNNNNNNCAUUUUUGUGCCUUUUUACCACUUUAUUGCCAUCUUCGUCUCUCCCCCCAAACUUACACUUUUGCCAUGUGCUAAAAGAAAGAUUGGGUGCCAAGAGAGGGUAUCUUUUAAAAUGGGUAUAGGCUUGUAUCAUGGUUCUUGAAAGAAAAAGGUCUAAGGCUCAAAAGGGGUAACUAGGGAUCAUAUCAUUGGUAGGCUAUGGAAUUGUUUAAACUAUCAUUUGGAUCAAGGAGAGCCUAUAAUCACGUAUCAAGUCAAAAUUCACUUAGGAUUUUGCCUCAACAAACAUUCAAGCAAGUUCUAGACCAAUGACUUGGGACUUGGACUCGCAAUUUAAUUACUCACCACACAAGCUAAGAGAUUGCUAAAGACAUAGAGUCGGGGGCCCACAACGACCUUAGAUAUGAUUUGAGCACACAAUGGUCCCGAAAAACCACUUGAUGAUUAUUAGUCAACUCAAGAGUCUCAAGGUCACGACUUUCACCAUCCUAAACACAACAACUUAUUUUUGAUCAUGAAAUCUAAGGCAAAUGUGCUAGGCCUAAGUGAAGCUUUGCUUGAGGUAUCCUUAACAACAAACUACUAAAAACAAAAAGGAAAACAGACUCAAACCCUUAAGAAGGUUAUCACGCCAUCCAUCAUUGGGAAGAGCCACCCAGUUCACACAACACUCUGCCUUUGGAAAGAACCAUGGAAUUAAGAAAACCAAAGGCUUAUUGAAAACGUCCAAAACAAAACAAAAAGCUACGAACAUCAAUAAGAAGCUAAAAACGAAAAAUUUUGCGGAAAAUAGAAUGAAUAUAUACAAGAGGGGAUUUGAAUAUACAACGGAUGGGAUGAAUAUAUACAAUGUGAUAUAACUUUAUAUACAGACCCAAAGUAAAAUAAAAGUGCAAUAAAUAUAACUAAAUAUCAAAUUAUAUACAGACCAAAGAUGAAAAAUCAAGAAAGCAUAAAAUGUAUCAAUAUAUAUACAGUCAUCCAUCAAAUGAAUAGUAGGGCCUACCCCCUCAAAUGAAAGCUGGCAUUGUCCCCAAUGUCAACUAGUCUAAAUAAGCACCAAAAAGAUAGAGAAAAAGGAUAUAGAAGACUCCCUAAGCCCUGUCUGUCUGCAUAGGAUCAUGAGUGGUCCCUGUGUCCUCUGUGUGCUGGGGAACCUCAGACUGGUUCCCGGUGGUCUGCUCCUUUGCUACUGGGACCUGGGCCUGGACCUCGAUAAGCUCUGGAACUGUUACAUCUUGUGGCUGACUGGAGGAAGUCUCUAGUGGGUCUGCCAACUAGAUGAUAGCAUCAUCAGCUCUAGGAAUCCUCCUCUUCCUCUUCGGAGGCCUCUAUGUCUGCUCUGGCUAUGGGUGAGCUGCUGGCACUAGGUCAUCAAGAAACAAGUAUAAAGGCAGCUAGUCUGCCUUCAGUCUAUCAACAUCUGCCCGCAACACCUUCACGGACUCCUUGGAGGCCCGUGUCUUCCGCAGCUUCUUAUGCUCCUUAGCAAGCUCCUUGAGAGCCUUGCUAUGUGAAUCGACUGCCUUUGAGAGCGCAGCCUGAGUAUCAAGGAUCUUCUUCUGGUUGUCAAGUAUCUCCUUGAGCGCAUCCUCUAUUGAUUGUGGCACCUGUGGAGCUGGGGGAACCGAUUGAGCCUCUACAGUAGUAGUCAAAAUGGACAACUUGGAUGAGGCAGUCUGCAUCUAGUUGUUGAUACUCAAAAGUGCCUAGCUUAGACGGUGGGCAGUAAUAGGAUAGGCCCGGGUAGAUGGGAUCUCCGAGCUUGUUGAUGUGGAUGGGCCAGGAGGAAUGGCUGAGUAUGUGGAUGGACCGGGAGGGAUAUCUGGAGAUGUGGAGGUAUGCUCAGCAGAAGCCACUACCUCAACCGGCUCCUCAAACUGGCCAGUUGGAGCAGUAGUUGGUACUUUGUAGUUCUUGCUCUUGGGGUUGUCAUCCCCCUUCAUGCUAUACCAGGAAAAUGGGGUUGUCGCCUUGACCUUGAUAUCAUAUGGCCUUUUGUCCACAUUCAGGUCUCGGAAGUACAUUGUGAGGAAACUGGGGAAAGGAUAGUUUCGUUCAUGCUCCGCGCCCACAAUAGUGAUAAUCCGGGACAUCACAUUCCCCACAUCUAUGGGGUACCCCGCCAUAAUCGAAGCAACCAAUACAGCCCGGUGGAGAGGAAGGGUGUUUUCAUGAGUGGUAGGGUCCAACCGGCUGCAAACAAAAGUCUCCCAUCCCUUCACUUCAAAGUUUAAGGUCCUUCUCAAUAUUUUGACCCCAGCGGUCAACCAAUUGGAGACGGUACCUGGGAUUGCCAGGUACUGAGCUAGCUAUGGACAGACCUCCUCACCCAUCUCCAUCUUCACCAUAUACAGAGUCUCAUCCUCCUUAUUGAAGCCCAGAUAUUCAUUAAUCGACUUCCUAUCAAAUAACACAUUGAGGUUCCGAACCUUGGUCACUUUGGAGCCCUUUUUGAUGUGGGCUACAUUGCAAUAAAACUCCUUGACCAAGUGUUCGUUGGCAUCCACACAAGCAUCUAGGAAGUUCUCCCAGCCCACUCUAGUCCUGAACUGUCUCUGCAUGUCGGGGUUGUGGGGUAGUAGGUCUCUAUCUAUGAAGCUCAUCUCUGGAAUCAAUUUUCUCACCGGCCACCACUCCCGAAACUUAUGGUAUGCUACCUCACUUACAAAUCUAUCUUCCCAAGCUUUGGGUUGCCUAGUUCUAGUAACGCCUCCUACUUGAGGCUCACCACCUUCAGCUACUCCCUCAUCUCCCUGUAUAUCCGCCUCACCUCCUCCUGCACCCUCCCCGGAUAAUGAAGUUGUGGGAGAUGUGGAGUAUUCCCCACUACCUUCAUCUGAGCCCUCAGACAACCCAGAAGAAAUGUUCACUGAUGCUUGGGCGGCGGGGGAAGAAGGAGGAGUGUCUCUGUGUUUGGCCCUCUCCGGAUACGGGAUAUAUUCUGGGACUAAGUCUGAAGAGAUCUCCCGAGAGGGCUCGUACUCACUCCCCAACAUGUCAAUGGAUCUGUCAGCCGCUUUUAUGGCCUUCCUCAUGUUCUUGAUGUUUUGCCUAGCUUGGGGAGUGAGUUUGACCAUUUUCUAUUUUCCACCCCGGGAGGAUUCACCUCUGCCGGGUUGUUUCGAGCUUUUUCCUCAUUGUUUAACCAUAGCCUGCAAGAACGAUCAAAUGAACUUGUUAAUAUCAUUGCAGCAGCUGAAAUCAGUGUUACAAAAUGAGUUGCAGAUCAGGCAUGAAGAACUGCAUACAGUUGCAAAAAACAGCCUAGUGCGGACCGCACAAAAUGGAGUGCGGCCGCACUGGGGUCAAUACGGACCGCACAAAAUUGACUGCGGUCCGCACAGGGGUGGGGUUCAGAAUACCCACCCUUUAUAUUGUGACAGUGCGGACCGUACAAAACAGUAGUGCGGCCGCACAGGGGCCAGUGCGGACCACACAAAAUGUAGUGCGGCCGCACUGCCCAAUGUUCAGCUUCCCAAAAGUUCUUCAGUGCGGUCCGCACAAAAUGGUACUGCGGACCGCACAAGGGCAUCGCGAACCGCACUAAAACGACCGCGGUCCGCAUUGAGUGCCCAGAUGUGGCACUAAGCUAGGGUUCAUGAAAUUUUUCUUUUAAGUCCAAUUUUUUGCACCUAAUAGGUGUUGCAAAGUGAUUUCCCAAUCCAUUAAGCUAACUAAUUCCACAUGAAUCAAAAUUUAAACUAACCUAACUUAGCAGUUAAGAAAAAAAAUGAAAGGAAGAAGAAAUAGCAGCUAAGAAAACGAAAAUAAAAUGAAAUUGACAAAAUUAAACAAGUAAAAAGAAGAUUAUGGUACAAGAUUAUGAGAUGAAUUGAAGCAAAUAAGUUCCAACAAGUAAUUACGAGCAAGUAAGGGUAGUGAACAGUGAUUAUACUCUCUGAGAUUUCAAAUUUGUGAAAAGUGUAAAAGGGAGCCCUCAGGGUCUAUUUAUAGAAAAGCCCCUAGGGCCCAUUCUCACCAACCAGUGCGGACCAUACAAAAUGAACCGCGGUCCGCACUGCACAAUUAUGUUCAAACUUGAGAAGGCAAUGCUCUACGGGCCGCACAGAAUGGACUGUGGCCGCAGAGGUCCAAUGCGGACCGCACAAAAUGUAGUGCGGCCGCACUGGCAAACUUCAGAGAGGUCUCGAUUCACCCUUCACCAGUGCGGACCGCACAAAAUGUAGUGCGGCCGCACUGACAACUUCAGAGACUUACACUGUCUUACACUGCAUCAACACAACCCUGUAAUAUCUCACAACCAGUUAGUCCAAAAAUCAGUCCUAUACUAUAAAGAAAAUCAAAGAAAACAAGAAGAAAAACACAUGGGUUGCCUCUCAAAAAGCACCUGAUUUAACGUCGCGGCACGACGCAGGUUACCAUCACAUCAUUUGAAGUGAAGAAGUGCCACCACGUGGCUGUCAUCAAUUUUCCCAAGAUAAUGCUUGACCCGGUGCCCGUUAACUCUGAAGACUUCACCAUUUUUAUUUUUCAAAUCAAGAGCACUAAAAGGGGUCACAAACACAACUUCAAACGGUCCACUCUAUUUGGAUUUGAGUUUUCCCGGAAACAGACGUAAUCGAAAGUUAAACAAGAGAACCAAAUCACCUACUUUGAACUCCUUUCCACGAGCAUAUUUGUCAUAAAGGUACUUCAUCUUGUCCUUAUAGAAGGACGAACUGGAGUAGGCAUCGAAUCCAAAUUUAUCGAGUUCAUUGAGCUGCUCUACACGAAGAUUGACUGCAACAUCCCAUUCAAGAUUCAACUUUCUCAAAGCCCACAUAGCCUUGUGCUAACUCAACUGGAAGAUGGCAAGCUUUCCCAAAUACCAACCGAUACAGAGACAUACCAAUCAGAGUUUUAUAAGCCGUCCGAUAAGCCCAUAGAGCGCCAUCCAACUUCUUCGACCAAUCGGUCCUAUGUGCAUUGACCGUUUUUGACAAUAUGCUUUUGAUUUCCCGGUUGGAGACUUCCACUUGACCACUUACUUGAGGGUGAUAGGGGUAGAAACUUUGUGAUUGACACCGUACUUAGAAAGCAACGUGUUGAAAGCUUUAUUGCAAAAAAUGAGAUCCCCCUUCACUAAUAAUCGCACGGGGAGUGCCAAACCUUGUGAAAAUGCUCUUCUUAAGAAAUGCAACAACACUCCGGGCUUCAUUGUUAGGCAAAGUCACGGCUUCAACCCAUUUUGAGACAUAGUCAACCGCUACGAGAAUGUAAGUAUUCCCACAAGAGCUAACAAAUGAACCCAUGAAAUCGAUGCCCCAAACAUCAAAGAUAUCCACUUCAAGAAUGGUAUUGAGAGGCAUCUCAUCCCUUUUUGAAAUUCCACCCACUCUUUGGCAAUCGUCACACUUCUUCACAAAAUCACCCGCAUCUUUGAACAAGGUUGGCCAAUAGAAUCCACAACUAAGAACUUUCGAGGCGGUCCUCACCCCACCGUGAUGGCCACUGUCACACCUCCUUUUUCCUACACCCCCGGAGAGGUAUAAAUAAAGGGAGUUUUUCCAAUUAAAGGACAAUCGAAACGGAAUUUAUUAUAAAGAUUCAGAGUUGCCACUUGGGAGAUUUAUGAUAUCCCAAGUCACCGGUUGAAUCCCGAAUCGAGGAAAAGCUUGACUCUGUUUAACAGUCAGCGAACAUAGAAAUCCGGGUAAGGAAUUCUGUUAACCCGGGAGAAGGUGUUUGGCAUUCCCGAGUUCCGUGGUUCUAGCACGGUCGCCCAACUGUUAUAAUUGGCCUAUUAUCUGAUUUUAGUACAUGUUUUAACCUAUGUGCAUUUUUAACUUUUGAAAACCGCUUUUACUUAUUUAAAGAAUUAAUUCAAGGUUAUUUAAAAUAUAUCGCAAAUCACGCCACAUGAAAUGCACCCGUGGUUCACGACACGCUCUAUUUAACCUUGUUGGAAAUUAAAACCGAGUCACAUGAAAUGCACCCCCCCCCGAAUUUUAAUAGCCGUGACAAUUAUAACUAACGCGCCUAAGGUGAACUAUGAAUAUUUAUUAAUUAUUUUCCCUAAACUAAGUUAAGAUUGUUGUGAGGCAAGGAGCAAGAUCAAACGCUAGCCCAUUAAUAUAGUUAGCAAAAGGAAAUAACUGGAAACCUAUAAAAGGAAUCGAAACCUUAAUAAGCAGAGACAAAGGUAAUUGGCAAAAUGGCGUGGAAAAAUCUCCCGUGAAUUAUAAUAUUUGACAUACAAAACCAAGGCUAUUAAUAUUCAACAAUUUAAACAAGAUUCCAUAAGCUUUAUGUAUACUAAUCAUGUGUGCAUUUGAAAGUUUAAACAGACAGAAACUAUAAAAUUAUCAAGUCAGCAAAUAUACUAAGAAUAACCUAUAGGAAGUCUUGAAACAUGAAAUGAAACACUAAAACUCAGAUAAAUAAGCUCUUUCCUUGUAUAUAACUUCCUCCGUCCCAAAAAUAUUACCAGAUAAAGAAUGAUGAAAAUGGUCGACAUUAGCUACAGAAGAGAGCUCGAAUCGGAAUCGACGUCGAACAAUCUCGAUCAGCGGCAAAAAAAACGGACAGAAGGGGUUCAAGAGGUCUUCGGCUCUAAGGCUAUGUUCUCUUGGUUCUCAGCCGAAGAACAUGGGGUCAGCUGGUGUAUGAGAGGUGAGGGAGGGGUGUAAACAUUGGGUUGAAGACGGAGCAGUACGGUGGAGGGGUUCAAUUUUUGGCAAACGACGGACUGAUCCCUGACUUCCAGGCUUUAGGCGUUACUCCUAUUUUUGUGUAUUUCAGCUCUUUUCUAAUAUUAGUAUUAACCAAUUGAAAAAUAACAAGUAAGCUCGUGCCUUAUCCCACAAUGACUGGAGCAUACAGAGAUUUCAAAUUCAUGCUCAACUUCAACUAUUUUAGUUUGGUGAUUGGCAAAACAUUUGUAUAGUUCUAGACUUACAAGCUCAUCUUGGUAUACAAAAUCAACCAACUCUUUUAAUAAUAAAGACUGAAGUAAAACAAAUGGAAAUCAGCAAGUAUAGAAUAACAAUCCAGUUAUAUUUUGACAUGAAUCUCAUUGUGUACAACAUAGCUUUACUUUAAACAUGCUGAGACAGAAAUUCAUUUCAACAAGUCAAAUGGGGAAGGGAAUAAAGAGAGAGACAUAUAACAAAACAAAGAUCUUCAUUAUCUCCUCAAAACAUCACAUGAAUCAGCCUUUACAUUUAAGAUCGAGGUAUGUACCUGAAUGUAAGAAGGAAGCAAAAGAAGUGAGGUUUCAGUAAGAAAACAGCAGCAACAAAACAAUACCAGCAGAGCCACUUUCAAACCAUAAAAUGAUAUGCAAUAGUCCAGAAAAAGUUUUAAUCGAACAGUAAAUACCACAACUUCAAACCAAACUUCUACAAACCCAGGUUCAGUUCAUUUUUAAUCCCAGAUGAUUCAAAAAUGGAUUCAGAAGUUGAAAAAACCUUAAGGAAUUCAGAAGAGAAUUUAAUGGAAUAGAAAACCAACACAAAGCUUGAACUAAUUUUUUUUCCAGACAGAGUUGGUUUCAAUGCAUUUCAAAUCCCAGAAUAAGAAACUAUGAUUUCAUAAGUUUCCUUCACCAAAUGAAAGCAGAAUACUCCUAAAUGAGCAGAGUUUGAGCAGUUUUAAAACAAAUGAUGUAAUGAUUUCAGAAUUUUCCAAAGGUAUUCCUCUGUUUUGUUUCCUCUCUAUUUUUCUUAUCUCUUUCAAACUCUAUCUUUCAGUGUUUUUUCAGAGUAUUCUUGUAUCUCUC